GCACUGGUGAAACUGGUUUGUUGGAUUUUCAGUACAUAAUUAGUGUGGAAGUGUUUUUGCCUAGUCAUUCAUAGUGUGUCGGCCCUUAUAAAAGUAGGCUUUCCCCUCAGUCCAACAUCAGUCUCAUUUGAGAUUAAGUUAGUGACACAGACGAGAACUCUCUCUACCUGGCAACCUCAACUCUAAGAUACAGCCAUGUCUCGUUUGCAAGACAUCAUUAAAAGCAUGGUGGAGUUGUACGUGGAGUACUCUGACACUGAUGGCAAGUUAAGCAAGGAGGAGUUGAUGACGAUGAUGGAUAAAGAAAUUGAAUGCUCUGAGAUGAAAGAAAAAAUCAAAUCUAAAAAAUGUGAGAAGAAGGCAGAUCGUAUGGGACGCGAUGGCGAGAUCGACUUCAGAGAGUUUUCUCGUUGUGUGAGUUUUCUUGCCAACAGCUGCUACCACAAGAAGACAGGCAAGGGCAAAGACUGUGGGGACAGCUCAGAUGAUUGAAUGUCAAACCUUUGAAGAGUUACCAUUAUAAUGUGUAAAAAACAGUGGCAGUGGUAUAUAUUACACUAACUGCACUGAGAAUGAAACUUUCAUUGUGUCACUGUGAAUUGUUUUUGAAGGAUGUUCUAAAUAAAAUUGAUUGAGUUUAAAUCAA